GUGACCUUGGGGAUACAGGGACCCUGAGCAGGUAAGACGAAGCCUCUGGGAACAUGAGCUUUAGGACUGGGAGUGGUAAGGAGUUUGGGUGAUGGCUUAUGACGGGGUCGUGGUUAUUUCUGUAUUAAAUAUGCAACAUGAACCAACCUUGAGGACAUGACGCCAAAUGAAACAGGCCACUCAGAAAGGAACCAAUCCGGCCUCCCUGAAGAAGACGAAGAACUCCACUCCUACCAGGCUCCUGGAGCAGUCAGCCUCACGGAAUCAGCAGACUGGGGUGGCCAGGGGCUGGGAGAAGGGCAAUGGGAUUUAGUGUUUAAUGGUGUCAGUUUCCAGUUGGGGUUAGGAAGACGUUCUGGAGAGGGGACGGCUGCACAAUGUGAAUGUCCUUUUAUUAUUUUUGUCCCAGAAAUUGAACCCAGGGGCACUUAACCACUGAGUCCUAUCCCCAUCCCCUCAUGGAAUGGCUCAGGGCUCUGCUGAGUUGCUGAGGCUGGCUUUGAACUUGGAAUCCUCCUGCUUCAGCCUCCCAAGCUGAGGUGUGUGUGACUGCGCCUGGCAACAUGAAUGUGUUUCAUGUCUCUGAACUGAACACUUCAAAAUGGUUACGGUGGUAAAUUUUACAUUGUGUGUAUUUCAC
rnacentral:lncRNA from 1 species